AGCAGAACAGCAAGGUCAAUUCUCUGACCAGCAGUGAUUGUCACAUUCUCCGCAGGCAGAGGCACUGAAGACACAUUAGAGGCAGUGAAGAUCUUGGUCUCAGAAAGAUCUUCAUUCCAAUCUUCAGUCCCCCACUCCUCUGUUGCAGUCCUCCAUGCACUCGUCCCAUCAUCUGGUUCAAAGUGGCCAGUGUUGUUCCACGUAUUGCCG
rnacentral:misc_RNA from 1 species